AUAGCGUACAUUAAAGUUGUUGCGGUUAAAACGCUCGUAGUUGGAUCUGCGGCCUCGGAGAACGGUCCCCCGAAAGGGUGGUCACUGUCUCUCCUAGCCUAAAUUCGAGUCGUCUCUAGGUGCUCUUUACCGGGUGCUUAGAGUGACUAGAACGUUUACUUUGAAAAAAUUAGAGUGCUUAAAGCAGGCGAAAUAGCCUGAAUAAGGUGCAUGGAAUAAUGGAAUAGGACCUCGGUUCUAUUUUGUUGGUUUUCGGAACCCGAGGUAAUGAUUAAGAGGGACAGACGGGGGCAUUCGUAUUACGGUGUUAGAGGUGAAAUUCUUGGAUCGCCGUAAGACGAACUACUG
rnacentral:rRNA from 1 species